UGGCGAAGUUUGAGACUUCAGAGACACCUCCGAGAGUUACGCACGUUUUUUCGGCCACACGGUUAUUGGUAUUUGACCUGCUCUUUGCUAACAACCUGCUCUUUGGAUUGCUUUCCAAUUCACAUUUGCUGCAGUUUCUAAAUUCGUUCUACAUUUGUUUGUCCUUAGACUCUCUGAAGGCAAGGAGUUGGCUCGGGAAACAUGGGCUUAUAUGGCCCUGUUGUAGUGGUCAGCAAGGCGCUGUGCAUGGGG
ensembl:lncRNA